rnacentral:rRNA from 1 species
UCUGAGGAUACUGUCAGACUUGAAGUCGAGAGAGGUCGGAGGUACUCCUGGGGUAGCGGUGAAAUGUUAUAAUCCUGGGGGGACCACCAGUGGCGAAAGCGUCCGACCAGAGCGAGCUUGACGGUAAGGGACGAAAGCCAGGGGAGCGAACGGGAUUAGAUACCCCGGUAGUCCUGGCCGUAAACGCUGUGGGCUAGGUGUUGCAUGCUCUACGAGGGCGUGCAGUGCCGAAGAGAAGUUGAUAAGCCUACCGCCUGGGAAGUACUAUCGCAAGAUAGAAACUUAAAGGAAUUGGCGGGGGAGCACCACAAGGGGUGAAGUCUGCGGUUCAAUUGGAUUCAACGCCGGACAUCUCACUGGAAGCGACGGCAGGAUGACAGCCAAGCUGAUGACUUUGCUUGACGAGCCGAGAGGAGGUGCAUGGCCGUCGUCAGCUCGUGCCGUGAGAUGUCCUGUUAAGUCAGGUAACGAGCGAGAUCCCUGCCUCUAGUUGCCACCAUUACUCUCAGGAGUAGUGGGGCGAAUUAGCGGGACCGCCGCAGUUAAUGCGGAGGAAGGAAGGGGCCACGGCAGGUCAGUAUGCCCCGAA